AGAGUUUGAUCAUGGCUCAGAACGAACGCUGGCGGCGCGCCUAAUACAUGCAAGUCGAGCGAGAAGGUGUAGCAAUACACUUGUAAAGCGGCGAACGGGUGAGGAAUACAUGGGUAAUCUACCAUCGAGUGGGGAAUAACCAACCGAAAGGUUGGCUAAUACCGCGUACGCCUCCGAGUCUUCGGGUUCGGAGGGAAAGCUGCACUGUGAGUGUAGCGCUCUUUGAUGAGCUCAUGUCCUAUCAGCUUGUUGGUAGGGUAACGGCCUACCAAGGCUUUGACGGGUAGCUGGUCUGAGAGGACGAUCAGCCACACUGGCACUGCGACACGGGCCAGACUCCUACGGGAGGCAGCAGUAAGGAAUAUUGCGCAAUGGGCGAAAGCCUGACGCAGCGACGCCGCGUGGGGGAUGAAGGUCUUCGGAUUGUAAACCCCUUUCGGGAGGGAAGAUGGAGCGAGCAAUCGUUCGGACGGUACCUCCAGAAGCAGCCACGGCCAACUUCGUGCCAGCAGCCGCGGUAAUACGAAGGUGGCAAGCGUUGUUCGGAUUCACUGGGCGUGCAGGGUGUGUAGGCGGUUUGGUAAGCCUUCUGUUAAAGCUUCGGGCCCAACCCGGAAAGCGCAGAGGGUACUGCCAGGCUAGAGGGUGGGAGAGGAGCGCGGAAUUCCCGGUGUAGCGGUGAAAUGCGUAGAGAUCGGGAGGAAGGCCGGUGGCGAAGGCGGCGCUCUGGAACAUACCUGACGCUGAGACACGAAAGCGUGGGGAGCAAACAGGAUUAGAUACCCUGGUAGUCCACGCCC
rnacentral:rRNA from 1 species